UAUGUUAUGUAUUUGCAGUUA
ensembl:piRNA 21ur-3574 ncRNA